rnacentral:rRNA from 1 species
UACGAAGGGUGCAAGCGUUACUCGGAAUUACUGGGCGUAAAGCGUGCGUAGGCGGUUUGUUAAGUCCGCUGUGAAAGCCCUGGGCUCAACCUGGGAAUUGCAGUGGAUACUGGCAAGCUAGAGUGCGGUAGAGGAUGGUGGAAUUCCCGGUGUAGCGGUGAAAUGCGUAGAGAUCGGGAAGAACAUCGGUGGCGAAAGCGCUCUACUGGACCGCAACUGACACUCAGGGACGAAAGCUAGGGGAGCGAAUGGG